UACGGGGGGAGCAAGCGUUGUUCGGAUUUACUGGGCGUAAAGCGUGCGCAGGCGGUUUUGUAAGCCAGAUGUGAAAGCCCCGGGCUUAACCUGGGAAUGGCAUUUGGGACUGCAAGGCUGGAGUGUGGCAGAGGAGACUGGAAUUCCUGGUGUAGCAGUGAAAUGCGUAGAUAUCAGGAGGAAUACCGAUGGCGAAGGCAGGUCUCUGGGCUGACACUGACGCUCAUGCACGAAAGCGUGGGGAGCAAACAGG
rnacentral:rRNA from 1 species